GGCGUUGUUCACUGGUGAUUUUUUGUGUUUUGUACUUUUUCAUUGAUUGUUAAAUUUGUAGUCAAAUUCGUCAAUACAACUAGUUACUGACUGCUUGGACUCUACAGUGAUUUAUAUUACGCAGUAACUUUUCGGGUGAAUUUUUCAAUUGUGGAAGGUUAUACACCCAAAAACAGCACGAAUCAAAAUUCGAACCACAUUAAACUUCUAAUUGAAAUAUGAUUUAACUGAAUGACUGGCAACAGAGCAUACCGCCUGAAUCUGGUCUGAAUAAUUGUCUGGGAAUUUUUGAACCUCAUAACUUACUGUUUCAGUGGCAUUCUUGCAACUAGUAGUUAUAAGUUGAUGCGAUACUAUGACAAAAAAAAAAUGUGGAGAGAAGCGCUGGAGUCAGCUAGUUAGCAUUAUAAAUGAACUGAAUAAUUGAUAGACUGAAAAUCGACAAACCAUUACAAAAUGCACCACUGAAGAAUUUUGUAACAGCAACGAUGAUUUUGUUUUUUCCAUUUCGCAGGAAGUUAUUACUCAUAAUAGUGAUAAUGGAAACAUUGGCAAUAAUUUGUGUCGUUGCGUUUAAAAUAAUUAUCUAACAUGGAAUUAGUAAUGAAGUAACAAACAACUUCAGCAAACAU